rnacentral:rRNA from 1 species
AGCUCCAAUAGCGUAUAUUAAAGUUGUUGCAGUUAAAAAGCUCGUAGUUGAAUUUUGGGCUUGAUGUAAGUUCCACUGCCUCGGUAGUGCGAGUGCUUACGUUGAGCCUUUCUUUCUGGGGAACUAGCUGCACUUUAUUGUGUGGUUAGGGAGCCAGAACUUUUACUUUGAAAAAAUUAGAGUGUUUAAAGCAGGCAUUUCGCUUGAAUACAUUAGCAUGGAAUAAUAGAAUAGGACUUUGGUUCUAUUUUGUUGGUUUUCAGGACCGAAGUAAUGAUUAAUAGGGAUAGUUGGGGGCAUUAGUAUUUAAUUGUCAGAGGUGAAAUUCUUGGAUUUAUGAAAGACUAACUUCUGCGAAAGCAUUUGCCAAGGAUGUUUUCAUUA